CCUACGGGUGGCAGCAGUAGGGAAUAUUGCUCAAUGGGGGAAACCCUGAACCAGCAACGCCGCGUGGAGGAGGAAUGUUUUCUGAUUUUUAACUCCUUUUGUUAGAGAAGAUAAUGACGGUAGCUAACGAAUAAGCACCUGCUCACUCCGUGCAAGCAGCCUCGGUCAUACGGAGGGGGCAAGGGUUACUCGGAAUCACGGGGCGUAAAAAGCGCUUUGGCGGGAUAGCAAGUCAGAUGUGAAAUGCUAUGGCUUAACCAUAGAACUGCAGUUGAAACUGUUAUUCUAGAGUAUGCGAGAGGUAGGUGGAAUGCUUGGUGUAGGAGUAAAAUGCGUAGAGAUCAAGAGGAAUACUCAUUGCGAAGGCGACAUGCUAGAACAUAACUGACGCUGAUGCGCGAAAGCGUGGGUAGCAAACAGGAUUAGAUACCCCUGUAGUC
rnacentral:rRNA from 1 species